rnacentral:rRNA from 1 species
AACGAUGGAUGAUGGGUGUCGGGGGUCUCAAUUCCCUUUGUUCCGGAGCCAACGCGUUAAGCAUCCCGCAUGGGGAUUACGUCGCUCAAGGCUAAGACUCGCACGAAUUUCUGGGGGCCCGCACAAGCAGACUGGAGCGUCUGGUCUCUAACUUCGAUGCUACACAGCAGUGACCUUACCUGGGUUUGACAUGCACGUGGUAGGGAACCGAAAGGGGACCGACCUUCGGGAGCGUGCACAGGUUCUGCAUGACUGUCGUCAGAUCUGUGCCGUGAGGUGUCGGACUAAGUCCUGUAACGAGCGCAACCAUUGCCCUUAGUUACAAGUGUAUAAGGGGAGUGCACGGGACAACUGGGAGGAAGCUGGGGAUGACUUCAAGUCAGCAUGGCCUUUAUAUCCAGGGCUACACACAGCGCUACAAUGCCCAGUACAAUAUGGUAGCUCAAGUCGUGAGACGGAGCCAAUCACUUAAAGGUGGUCUCAGUUCGAAUUGCAGUCUGCAACUCGACUGCAUGAAGCUGGAGUUGCUAGUAAUCGCAGGUCAGCCAUACUACGCUGAUACGUUCCCGGGCCUUGUACACACCGCCCGUCACG